CAACAUUGGUGGUCCUAUAGUGAAUCUAAAUUUUCAUAAUCGGAUGCAAUCACCAUAUAUCAUGCCGCCGGGGAUUAUGAGUGGUUUUUCCCCGUUCACUAGUCAGAUGUUGGAGUACCAUGAUAGAUCUCGGGGAACCAUUUUGAGUCGGG